UUGAAGAUGUGAAAUGCAGCAAAAACGAGGAUAAAGUCUGAACUCCUAUUGAUUACGAGAUAAGCAGCAGAAUUUAUCAGGCGUGAAAGGGACAGCCUCCUGGUGGCCUGCCAAAAACCCAGAAUAAAGGCGAAGUUGUGCUUCAAAGCUCAGUCGCUUGCUGAGUCUGGCUAAAGUCAAGUAUUAAGAUCCACCAUUUUCUGAGCCAUGUUAGAAAAGAAGAAAAAAGUCAGGACGGUUGCUGCUUUCCAAGUCUCCGUUGGCACCAUCACAAAAUCUCAGUCGUAAGGUCACAUGAUUCUCUGCCAAAUGUAGAGUGCACUCCCAUCAACCAUUCUGCUGAUACUGCGAAGGCAGCUAUUGUCUCGUUUAGACCCAAAGUUCAGCCCACUCUUCAUUGAAUUAGCUGAAAAACGCAUCACCUUUGGGGGCUGGGAGUCAUGGAAACGUCUACCUGGCAAGCUGCCCACUUUUUCUGCCCAUCAACCAGAGAUGGAAUUGUGCUGCCUAACGCAAUGAUGACUUGGAAUGUGAAGAGUCGUCCAAAGUGAAUCUGAUUCUUGCAACGCCUGUUUCGUUUGCACAGAAAACUCUGGCUUCUUGUAGUUAAGAGGGGAAAAAAAAAAUCUUUCCUACCAAAUGUAGCAAAUAAAGGUCUGAACAUGCCUACUCUGGCAACUUUUUUUCUCAACACACCCAAAUGGUUCUCAAAUGAAAAGACUGAAAGCCCUUCAAGUUUUCUGAGUUAAAGGCAUCCCUUCAUCUGUCUCCUUUUCCUUACAAGUGAAUGAAACAAGCCCAGAACAUUUGUUUUCGUCUCUCACUUUAAGAUUUAAAAAAACUCCGAGUUUUCUUCUUGCUUUUUGUUACUUUCUGAUUUUAUCUGGCACUGAUUUUGUACUACAUGGUCACAAUGUCUUCUAGCAACAGCAGGGAUGCACUAUUGCUGCAAUCUCCAACAAAGUGCUCCCCUGAGAAAGCCAGUUGUCUCUUUAUCCACAUAAAACCCUGCAACUGGGUCUAUAGUAAUCCUCAUCGGUACCUAGCACAGCUGCUAUGCAAGUUUUCUGAGACUGACAUAUGUGAGAAGGGCUCUUUCUGUUUCUUCGCUGGCUACAGUUUGCCCGCGUGGCAUGAAAGAUGCCUUUGAAAGAUGCAGGGACUGUGUCAACAGCUCUUAGGUAGUAAAAUGAAAUGGUUCCCCUCCCCAAUGAAUUUCCAUUCUAGCAGGCAAUGAAUCCCAUGCACGAACAUUUCUAUACUUUCUAACAAAAGUAGAGUGAAUUAAAUUUUUCACAAUUUCCUUAAGCA
rnacentral:lncRNA from 10 species